rnacentral:rRNA from 1 species
CAGCAUCCUAGCCGAAGCGCGGACCUCAGUCCCGGCUGGCCGUAUUACACCCUGGGCUAUAACACCUCCACCGAAGUGGAGGCCACAUUCCCAGAGCCUUUAUCCGGCCGCCGAAACUGAUGCUGGCCUGUCCAAACUGAGUAAACCGGUCAGAAGACCGGCCGAACAGUUUAAACAAGUCUGAUUGCAAGCGCUUCCCUUUCAACAAUUUCACGUGCUUUUUAACUCUCUUUCCAAAGUGCUUUUCAUCUUUCGAUCACUCUACUUGUGCGCUAUCGGUCUCUCGCCAAUAUUUAGCUUUAGAAGAAAUUUACCUCCCAUUUAGAGCUGCAUUCCCAAACAACUCGACUCGUCGAAGGAGAUUUACAUAGGGUGCCAUUUCCUGUCACAUACGGGAUUCUCACCCUCUAUGACGUCCUGUUCCAAGGAACUUAGACAGGCGGCUUCCCCAAAUCAUCCUCUACAAAUUACAAUGCGAACCCGAAGGCUAGCUUUCAAAUUUGAGCUGUUGCCGCUUCACUCGCCGUUACUAGGGCA